UGAUAUCGUAACGUCGAUGGCAGCUUAU
rnacentral:sRNA from 1 species